CUUGUAGGCGGUCCGUCGCGUCAGAAGUGAAAACUCAGGGCUUAACCCUGAGCCUGCUUUUGAUACGGGCGGACUAGAGGGAUGCAGGGGAGAACGGAAUUCCUGGUGGAGCGGUGGAAUGCGCAGAUAUCAGGAGGAACACCGGUGGCGAAGGCGGUUCUCUGGGCAUUACCUGACGCUGAGAAGCGAAAGCGUGGGGAGCAAACAGGCUUAGAUACCCUGGUAGUCCACGCCGUAAACGGUGGGCACUAGGUGUGGGGGACAUUCCACGUUCUCCGUGCCGAAGCUAACGCAUUAAGUGCCCCGCCUGGGGAGUACGGCCGCAAGGCUAAAACUCAAAGGAAUUGACGGGGGCCCGCACAAGCGGCGGAGCAUGCGGAUUAAUUCGAUGCAACGCGAAGAACCUUACCUGGGUUUGACAUAUGCCGGAAAGCUGCAGAGAUGUAGCCCCCGCAAGGUCGGUAUACAGGUGGUGCAUGGCUGUCGUCAGCUCGUGUCGUGAGAUGUUGGGUUAAGUCCCGCAACGAGCGCAACCCUCGUCCUACGUUGCCAGCGGGUCAUGCCGGGGACUCAUAGGAGACUGCCGGGGUCAACUCGGAGGAAGGUGGGGAUGACGUCAAGUCAUCAUGCCCCUUAAGUCCAGGGCUUCACGCAUGCUACAAUGGCUGGUACAAAGGGCUGCGAUACCGCAAGGUGGAGCGAAUCCAAAAAAGCCAGUCUCAGUUCGGAUUGGGGUCUGCAACUCGACCCCAUGAAGUCGGAGUCGCU
rnacentral:rRNA from 1 species